rnacentral:lncRNA from 1 species
AAUAGAUUCUUGUUUGAUCGACUCAAGACACAAAACAAAAUCUACUUAUGAACUUGAAACAAAGAAGUUACGAUGAGUUAAAAAAAUAAGAAAAGCACAUAAAUAACGAAGACACGAAAGAAACGGACUCAACAACUAAUCUACAACUAAGUAGGUGAUUACUAGUUGCUAAUUAGUAUUAGAACCAACAACGAAACUAAGGGACAAUAAAAAUGAAACUAAGAAUCUAAAAUUUUGAGCUCAAAAAUAUUGCGUGAAUAGUAGCAGUGAUGAUGUGGCAGCCAUGUAUUGGUUCGGUUUUAUCAAGUGGUUAUUCUCAAAUGUUCAAGUGUUGGUCAAAAAUUAAUUUGGAUUGAUGAAAUUUGUUUUAGGAGGGAAAAUAAGCCUUGGGGCCUUUUUCAAUUUUCAAGACAUGACUUUUUCUUGUACUUCUCCUUAAAACAUGGGUCCUUAAAUCAUAGAAAAGUGGUUGAGAAGUGAUAUAAAGUCUUUUGGUGGUUGGGGGUCUUUCAAGACUAACAAGUACAUACACCUUUUUCCUUCACCUUUUAGGAUCUAACAUUCACUUUAUGUUCUAACAAUAUAUGAAGGAAGGUGAAGAACUUCAAGAACAACAACAACCAC